rnacentral:rRNA from 1 species
UACGAAGGGGGGCUAGCGUUGUUCGGAAUCACUGGGCGUAAAGCGCACGUAGGCGGAUUUUUAAGUCAGGGGUGAAAUCCCGAGGCUCAACCUCGGAACUGCCUUUGAUACUGGGGAUCUGGAGUCCGGGAGAGGUGAGCGGAACUGCGAGUGUAGAGGUGAAAUUCGUAGAUAUUCGCAAGAACACCAGUGGCGAAGGCGGCUCACUGGCCCGGAACUGACGCUGAGGUGCGAAAAGCGUGGGGGAGCAAACAGG